AUUCAAAUAGCUUAUAUAAAGCGUAACAUUGAAGCUGUUAUGAAGAUCUUUAGAUCUUUGAAUA
rnacentral:tRNA from 1 species